AUGGCAAAGGGGGCCCCAUCGCAAAGAGGGGGGUGCUGGAGUCACUGGGGGGCUGGGCCUCCGGCACUCUGGGGUGCAGCAGUCAGUGGGAAAAAAGAUCAAUUUCACCUGCAGAAGAAGGGGAGCAGGGAUCCUUCUUCACCCGGGGGACAGACGGGGUGUCUCAGGGCGGAAUCCUGCUCCUUGGCCCCGGGAGCGGAGGGCCAGAUGGGUUGCUCCAGGGGUCCUGAUCCUUCAGCGGGGGGGACUACGACGACAGAUGCGACUCCAGGUCCUUCACCCCGCCCCACGGGGCCCCAGGAAGGCCCCGAGGGGGGUCGGCGAGGCGCAGUGGGGCCGACUCGGUGUCUUCAGCGCCUCGCUCCCCGGCGGGCGAACAGCAGCAGCGCCGGACGGUGCCCUCUCAAGCCCAUCAAGAAGUCUGGGAAAACGGAGCAGCUAAAAUACUCUGGGAGGACGUUCUGUUCCUGCUCAGGGACUUGCAGCCCCAGCAUGUUGGAAGAUGUCACUCCAGGUUCAGGAGGUUGGUUGGUUUCUCCUUGGGUCCUCUGCUGUCACGUGGCUCCUGUUCCAGCAUCUGAGGAAUCUGCUCCCUGAGGCCAUGUUCGGUGAUGAUAGUCUCGCUGGCUCUGACUCAAUAGCCAGUAGCUCUGCCAGGGGGGUCACGGGGCACCAGCCUGGCCUUUCCUCAGCUUUCUCCCUGCUUGCCCCACAAACUGGGUGGCUGGGGGAGUUACCAGCUGGUUUUUUUCCAGGGAGCCUCUUUGGAUGAGCCCCCUUAGCUCCUACCUUCUGUCCAGGCAGAAAUAAAAAAC
rnacentral:lncRNA from 1 species